CUGUGCGCCAGGUCACUUCAAAGUCAGGCCAACUCUCAGUAUGAUGGGCAUAGCUAACCCUCACCUCUGACGGUGGGGGUUUUCUUUUGG
rnacentral:sRNA from 1 species